rnacentral:rRNA from 1 species
GAUGAACGCUGGCGGUAUGCUUAACACAUGCAAGUCGAACGGACUCUUCGGAGUUAGUGGCGGACGGGUGAGUAACGCGUGAGAAUCUGGCUUUGGGUUCGGGACAACCACUGGAAACGGUGGCUAAUACCGGAUGUGCCGAGAGGUAAAAGAGAAAUUGCCUGAAGAUGAGCUCGCGUCUGAUUAGCUAGUUGGUGAGGUAAAGGCUCACCAAGGCAGCGAUCAGUAGCUGGUCUGAGAGGAUGACCAGCCACACGGGGACUGAGACACGGCCCAGACUACUACGGGAGGCAGCAGUGGGGAAUUUUCCGCAAUGGGCGAAAGCCUGACGGAGCAAUACCGCGUGAGGGAAGAAGGCUCUUGGGUUGUAAACCUCUUUUCUUAGGGAAGAACAAAAUGACGGUACCUAAGGAAUCAGCAUCGGCUAACUCCGUG